UGGAGAUACCCUCCAAGGACUGUCCCUACGAUUCCAGGCAAAGAUUCGAUACUCUGCGUAGAGCCAAGGGUAUGUUUACUGCUGAAGACUUCCGCUAAGCGUGACAGCUGGAGUGAUCUCCCACAGGGCUGACAUCCUGUUGUAUGGAGCUAGGUGUUACAUAAUCAUCAUUAAUCCCACUCCCUCCCCCCACCGAACCCCACUCACUGUGAGUUACAUCAUUGCUGCUGAGUGUAUAGCGUGACUGAGGAGAAUGAUUGAUAGAAUGUGUAGGAAUAUUUCGAUAAAUAAAUUACUAAAUAGCUUUCAUUCACAUUAGAUGUUCACAUUAUUGACAUUAGGGAUUGUGUAAAAUUAUAUUGGCCAAGAAUAAUCCAUAAAAGCGUGCCAGAUAUCAUAAAGUUAAGUUUUCACACGGUUAUAAAUGGUCCAUAUAAUGUUAACAAUCUUCUGCAUUUAAAUGCAGAAUUAGAUGCCCAGUUUAUUUGUCAGUUUUCAAGUUAACUGGCAAGGCAUUUCCUACAUGUAAUAGGUGUUUAGAAAAUCUACCCAGUUAACGCUGUCUAACCACCGUUUAUCAAUAAAGUCUAAUAAUGUUGUAGCGGUAUGCAAUUGCUGAAGCAACUGAUAUGGUGAAAGCAACUUCAUAUAAGGAGUACCAUAAUUAUUGUAACCAAAAGAUUAUGUUUAGCAUUGGUCUGUUUCAGAAUCGGUGUUUUGUAAUAUAUGUGAUGAGUGCAAAAUCACGAGAUGUACAUAAUACUGCUAGCUAUAUUGCUAUACUUGUAUAGGGUUAAUGAGGAAUAAACUCAUAAUAAGUUAAAACAUC